rnacentral:sRNA from 1 species
AAGGGACCUAGCGUAGUUCGGAAUUACUGGGCUUAAAGAGUUCGUAGGUGGUUGAAAAAGUUGGUGGUGAAAUCCCAGAGCUUAACUCUGGAACUGCCAUCAAAACUUUUCAGCUAGAGUAUGAUAGAGGAAAGCAGAAUUUCUAGUGUAGAGGUGAAAUUCGUAGAUAUUAGAAAGAAUACCAAUUGCGAAGGCAGCUUUCUGGAUCAUUACUGACACUGAGGAACGAAAGCAUGGGUAGCGAAGAGGAUUAGAUACCCUCGUAGUCCAUGCCGUAAACGAUGUGUGUUAGACGUUGGAAAUUUAUUUUCAGUGUCGCAGGGAAACCGAUAAACACACCGCCUGGGGAGUACGACCGCAAGGUUAAAACUCAAAUGAAUUGACGGGGACCCGCACAAGUAGUGGAGCAUGUGGUUUAAUUCGAAGAUACGCGCAGAACCUUACCAACACUUGACAUGUUCGACGCGACUCUAAGAGAUUAGAGUUUUCGGUCCGGCCGGACGAAACACAGGUGCUGCAUGGCUGUCGUCAGCUCGUGUCGUGAGAUGUUGGGUUAAGUCCCGCAACGAGCGCAACCCUCGCUUUUAGUUGCCAUCAUUAAGCUGGGCACUCUGAAAGAACUGCCAGUGAUAAGCUGGAGGAAGGUGGGGAUGGCGUCAAGUCCUCAUGGCCCUUAUGUGUUGGGCUACACACGUGCUACAAUGGCAUCUACAACAGGAAGCAAAACGGCAACGUUAAGCAAAUCCCGAAAAGAUGCCUCAGUUCGGAUUGCACUCUGCAACUCGAGUGCAUGAAGCUGGAAUUACUAGUAAUCGUGGAUCAGCGUGCCACGGUGAAUGCGUUCCCGGGUCUUGUACACACCGCCCGUCACACCAUGGGAGUUGGUUCUACCUUAAGGCAAGGUUUCAAACACUUGACCACGGUAUAGUCAGCGACUGGGGUGAAGUCGUAACAAGGUAGCCGUAGGGGAACCUGCGGCUGGAUUACCUCCUUUCUAAGGAUGAGUGAAAGAGAAAAAUUUCACUCUAAAUAAUAUACAUCGGUAAUGUUGACCGUCCUCAUUUCUCUUCUUAAAGUAAUGUUUCCUUCUUGUAGGGCCGGUAGCUCAGUUGGUUAGAGCACACCCUUGAUAAGGGUGGGGUCGAAAGUUCGAGUCUUUCUCGGCCCACCAAAAACCUAAAUGGGGGAUUAGCUCAUCUGGGAGAGCGCCUGAUUUGCAUUCAGGAGGUAGCAGGUUCGAUCCCUGUAUCCUCCACCAGGAAACAUUUAGUUAUUAAAACUGUAAAUAAAAAUAAUUUAUAUCAAUAUCUAUAUCCGAACAUUAAAAGUUAUUAUUUAAUGUUCAAAAUAAAAAUUUGAUCACAACAUAGAUUAAUUUUCUGUUAAAAGAAUCUUUUUCUGUGCAUAAAUCAAGCGUUUAAGGGCGUGUAGUGGAUGCCUUGGCACUGAAAGCCGAUGAAGGGCGUGAUAUACUGCGAUAAGUUUCGGGGAGCUGUAUGUAAGCUUUGAUCCGAAAAUUU